CUACGGGAGGCACCAGUGAGGAAUAUUGCACAAUGGGGGGAACCCUGAUGCAGCAACGCCGCGUGGAGGAUGACGCAUUUCGGUGUGUAAACUCCUUUUAUAUGUCAAGAAAAUGACGGUAGCAUAUGAAUAAGCACCGGCUAACUCCGUGCCAGCAGCCGCGGUAAUACGGAGGAUGCAAGCGUUACUCGGAAUCACUGGGCGUAAAGGACGCGUAGGCGGGUUGGAAAGUCAGGUGUGAAAUCCUACAGCUUAACUGUAGAACUGCACUUGAAACUUCUAAUCUAGAGUAUGGGAGGGGGAGAUGGAAUUAGUGGUGUAGGGGUAAAAUCCGUAGAUAUCACUAGGAAUACCUAAAGCGAAGGCGAUCUCCUGGAACAUUACUGACACUAAGGCGUGAAAGCGUGGGGAGCAAACAGGAUUAGAUACCCCUGUAGUC
rnacentral:rRNA from 1 species